rnacentral:rRNA from 1 species
UGCGUAGGCGGCGCGGAAAGUUGGGUGUGAAAGCCCUCGGCUCAACCGAGGAAUUGCGCCCAAAACUUCCGUGCUUGAGGAAGAUAGAGGUGAGCGGAACUUAGGGUGGAGCGGUGAAAUGCGUUGAUAUCCUGAGGAACACCGGUGGCGAAAGCGGCUCACUGGAUCUUUUCUGACGCUGAGGCACGAAAGCUAGGGGAGGCAAACG